rnacentral:rRNA from 1 species
UCAGACGAUGCGUCAUGCAUAUCAAUAAGCGGAGGAAAAGAAACUAACAAGGAUCCCCUAGUAACGGCGAGUGAAGCGGGAAGAGCUCAAAUUUGAAAUCUUAAAGGGUUUCCCUUUACGAAUUGUAGUUUAAAGAAGUGUUUUCUGUUGAGGUUUUGGUAAAAGUUCUUUGGAAUAGGACAUCAUAGAGGGUGAGAAUCCCGUAUUUGACCUUUACUUUCAACUUUGUGAUACACUUUCAAAGAGUCGGAUUGUUUGGGAAUGCAGUCCAAAAUGGGUGGUAAAUUUCAUCUAAAGCUAAAUAUUGGCGAGAGACCGAUAGCGAACAAGUACCGUGAGGGAAAGAUGAAAAGAACUUUGAAAAGAGAGUUAAACAGUACGUGAAAUUGUCAAAAGGGAAGCGUUUGACACCAGUGUUGUUUUUCUGAAAAUCAAUUAAAGAACUGUUUAUGCUAAGCUGUUUAGACUUUAUCAGCUAUCUGUUUAGUUUUGAGCUUCUCUUUAAUGCACUUUUCAGUUAACAAGUCAACAUCAAUUUCUUUUGCUGUAAAAAAGCUUGAGGAAGGUGGCUUGAGAUUCGUCUUAAGUGUUUAUAGCCUCUUGCCUAUGCAGUCGGAGAGAUUGAGGUCUGCAGCGUAGAUCCUUCGGGGCUAAAUGCAUUUGUGCUAAGUUAUAGCAUUUUAUAGACAACUUGUUGACUAUGAUUUGUCUUGUAGCUUACUCGCUUAUGUUAUUUUACCUACGCUUAGGAUGUUGAAGUCAUCGUAUCGCGC